CUAGCGACUUCAGAGUUUGAUCCUGGCUCAGGAUGAACGCUGGCGGCGUGCCUAACACAUGCAAGUCGAACGGAGUUAUAUAAUCGGAAAGCUUCGGCCGGAAGAAUAUAUAACUUAGUGGCGGACGGGUGAGUAACGCGUGGAUAACCUGCCGUAUACAGGGGGAUAACACUUAGAAAUAGGUGCUAAUACCGCAUAAGCGCACAGCUUUGCAUGAAGCAGUGUGAAAAGCCGAGACGGUAUACGAUGGAUCCGCGUCUGAUUAGCUAGUUGGUGAGGUAACGGCUCACCAAGGCGACGAUCAGUAGCCGGCCUGAGAGGGUGAACGGCCACAUUGGGACUGAGACACGGCCCAA
rnacentral:rRNA from 1 species